GACAGAGGAUGCAAGCGUUAUCCGGAAUUAUUGGGCGUAAAGAGCUCGUAGGCGGCCUGUUGCGUCCGCUGUGAAAGCCCGGGGCUUAACCCCGGGUCUGCAGUGGAUACGGGCAGGCUAGAGGUAGGUAGGGGAGAAUGGAAUUCCCGGUGUAGCGGUGAAAUGCGCAGAUAUCGGGAGGAACACCGGUGGCGAAGGCGGUUCUCUGGGCCUUACCUGACGCUGAGGAGCGAAAGCGUGGGGAGCGAACAGG
rnacentral:rRNA from 1 species